rnacentral:ncRNA from 1 species
GCUAAUUUGAUUCUGGUUACCUAAUUAGUUAUUUCCUUUCGCCACAUGCUAGUAAUUUACACCAUGCCUUUUCACCUACCAUUAAUACUGCAGUAGCUAACCUUACGCUAUAGGCGACAGCCUGACCUAGAAACGGAUCAUAUAGUCGGUAAAUCCCGUGCCAGCAACCGCGGCUAAACGAAGAGACUAAAACUAAUUUUAACCGGCGUAAACUACGGUCAAGCUAUUGCAACAACUUUGUGAUAAGCUCUUUUCAAGCUGUAAUACGUCUCCAAAAAUAGAAAAUCACGCUUUACACCCAUAGCCUAUCCCCCAAAGCUAGAACAAAAACCAGGAUUAGAUACCCUAUUAUUUCUAGCCACCACCUAAAAUUUAACUUCAAUCAAAGCCAGAGAACUACCUACAACAGUACUAAACUCAAAGAAUUUGGCGGUGUUUUAGACCUACCUAGAGGAGCCUGUUACUUAAACCGAUAACCCGCGAUAACCUUACCAACUCUUGCCUCCCCCGCCUGUAUACCCUCGUCGCCAGCCUACUCUGUGAAGACCCUUUAGUAGGCUAAAAGAAAUAAUCCCCUCACGUCAGAUCGAGGUGCAGCUCACGAGUUGGGGCCUAAUGGGCUACAUUCCACAAACAGCUUAAACCUGUGUGACUUUCUCUCUCUGAAAACAGAAAUAAAAGAAGGAUUUAGCCGUAAUGAAAAACCACCACGUUUCCAUGAAGCAAGCUCUAAAACACGUACACAUCGCCCGUCACUUCCCUUACAUGACUAUUUAUUUUUAAAAUUUAUCACUCCUAAAGGGGAAAAAGUCGUAACAAAGUAGGUGUACUGGAAAGUGCACCUGGCCCAA